ACAAGUUCAACAGCCAAGGAACAAGUGCUGAAUCCGAGUGCCACAAAGCCAUGGGGGCAGGGAAGUCAGGGAACACCCUCUGGAGGAAGUAUAUCUGCAGCAGGGGCUUGAAGGAAGUGAAAUGGAGAAUUUGCACAGAAAAGAAAAAGGAGGCCAGUGCUUCAGAAGGGGGAACAACAGAAGCAAAACCCAAGAAGCCGUAACUAACUCAGUUCUGCAGGGGACAGACUUGGAGAAGCAGAGAAUAAGGUUCAGCACACAGCCUUGUCUCAUCAAAAUUACCUUUUCAUAAGUAA
rnacentral:lncRNA from 1 species